rnacentral:rRNA from 1 species
AACGAACGCUGGCGGCAUGCCUAACACAUGCAAGUCGAACGAUUGCCUUCGGGUGAUAGUGGCGCACGGGUGCGUAACGCGUGGGAAUCUGCCCUUAGGUUCGGAAUAACAGCUGGAAACGGCUGCUAAUACCGGAUGAUAUCGCGAGAUCAAAGAUUUAUCGCCUGAGGAUGAGCCCGCGUUGGAUUAGGUAGUUGGUGGGGUAAAGGCCUACCAAGCCGACGAUCCAUAGCUGGUCUGAGAGGAUGAUCAGCCACACUGGGACCGGGACACGGCCCAGACUCCGACGGGAGGGAGCAGUGGGGAAUAUUGGACGAUGGGCGCAAGCCUGAUCCAGCAAUGCCGCGUGAGUGAUGAAGGCUCGAGGGUUGCAAAGCCCUGUUACCCGGGAAGAUAAUGACUGUACCGGGAGAAUAAGCCCCGGCUAACUACGUG